rnacentral:rRNA from 1 species
GAUGAACGCUGACAGCAUGCUUAACACAUGCAAGUCAACUGUGGCGGACGGGUGAGUAACGCGUAAAGAACUUGCCUCACAGAUAGGGACAAAAUUUGGAAACGAAUGCUAAUACCUGAUACUGUGGGAGAUCUUUGCGUCCCAUUAGCUAGUUGGAGAGGUAACGGCUCACCAAGGCGAUGAUGGGUAGCCGGCCUGAGAGGGUGAUCGGCCACAAGGGGACGUAGACACGACCCUUACUCAUACGGGAGGAAGGAGGGGGGAAUAUUUGCCAAGGGACCAAAGUCUGAUCCAGCAAUUCUGUUUGCACGAUGAAUUUUUCGGAAUGUAAAGUGCUAUCAGUUGGGAAGCAGUACCAACAGAAGAAGUGACGGCUAAAUACGUGCCAGCCGCCGCGGUAAUUC